UUCACUGAAAAAUUUUACGAACUUAUUAACAGUUCGUACAAGGCGCGUUUUUCCUAAUUUUUUUUUUCGUUAGUGGGUAAGAUAAGCAUUUCAGCCUUCAUUCCGAUACCGGUCAGUGCUUGAUUGUUUGGUCCCGAAAAUUAAUUCGCAAUAUCGAGCCAGGAGAUCGUUCUCUUGGGAGAAAAAGAUGCCAUCAUAUGAUUCGCAACAAAACUUGUCUCCAGCUCCCGGAAAUGCUCCACCGCGUGAUAAAAAAAUUGAUAUGAAAAAGCUGAAAACUUGUAUUUGGAGACAGUUGACUGGAGAACAGGGAACCGUCCAGCCAACCAAAUUUUCAACUGUAUUUGAACAGUUGCCACAGUUAGCUCCAGAGAUGGGCGAGGAUCUAAGCCCCCAUUUGGCCGUUCUAUCUGUAUUACACCUUUGCACUGAUGAGAAUUUGGGUUUGGAAGCAACCGACGAAAAUGGCGACUUCACCAUAACUAAGGACCUGAAUUAAAGUCUCCAGUGCAGAUCGUCGUCGACUAUACGCCUCUCAAAUCGUUUUUGUCAUUUGUUAUUUUUUGUUACUUGUUUGAAUUUUCCUUGUCAUGUAUUGCAAGUAAAAAAAGUAUUAAUAAAAUUUAAUACGUAUACGUUAAAAUGAAAA